GUGGAUAUAGCUUAGUGAUAGAGUGCGUGCUUUGCAUGUAUGAGGUCCUGGGUUUAAUCCCUAGUAUCUCCA
rnacentral:tRNA from 1 species